rnacentral:lncRNA from 1 species
CAAAAUUUAAUGGAAUACUGUCUUAAAUAUUCAACCUCUACUGCCAUACUACCAACAUCUGCCUCUGACAUUGUAGACCAAUAUAAUAAAAUAGAAGAUAUUACUUUUGAAGCAAUCCUGGUAUGUCCUUAUCAACUAGCAAAAAGGAAACACAAGCUUUCUUAGGUGUCACAGGGUUUUGGACAAUGCAUAUUCUGAAUUACAGUCUGAUUGUAAACCCUCUAUAUCAAGUGACCAAGAAGAAGAACAAUUUCAGAUGGGGUCCUGAGGAAGAAGACUUCUAACAAAUUAAACAGGAAAUAAUUUGUGCGUUACCAUGAAAUACUUGGACCAGUGGAAGCAGUACAAAAUGCUACAGAUAUGCUCUACGCUGCAGCUAGGGAGAAUGGUCCUACCCAGAGGACCACUGGAUUGACAAUACAUGAAGGAGCUUGAGCUGCUUUGGAAGCGGUUGAUACUGAAGCACCAGCUCCUCUUAUCACUCUGACUGCCUGUGCUGGGUUGAAUGUUCAAAGGGAGGGUCCUCUCUACACAUUAUGCAGCUCAUGCUACAUGGAAUAAGUGGAUUGCACUGAUCACACAACGACUUUGAGUCUUGUAGUCCAAGAAUCUUGGAAAUGAUUGUGGGAUAACUCAAAAGCAAAGAUUUUGUAAUGUCAUCAGAAGAGGAGGUGAUGCAUGUUGAAGAGAUCCCAAUGCAAAAUAAGUUACCAGAGAAUGAGAAGCAAUAUGCUUUGUUCACUGACAGGUCCUCUUCUAUUGUAUGAAAACACUGGAGGAGGAAGGCAGUUGUGUGGAGCCCUGCACAACAAAUUGCAGACAUUUCUGAAAAAGAAAGUGAAUCGAGACAAUUUGCAGAAGUGAAGGUCAUCCAGCUGGCUUUAGAUGUUGCUGAAAGAGAGAGUGACUAGUACUGUACCUAUGCACUGGCUCUUGGAUGGUGACAUAUGCUCCUUGAGGGUGGUUACUACAAUGUAAGCAGAACAACCGGUAACUCAGAGGCAAGCUCAUCUGGGUUGUUGCAUUGUGGAAAGAUAUUACUGCACAGAUAAGGAACAUGGAUGUAAAAGUACAUCACAUAUAUGUCCACAAACCCGACAGUCAUUUCACGGAGAAACAUCGAAACAACAAGCAGAUGGCCAUUAGGAUCGAAGUGGCUCAGUACGAAGGCAGUAUCCUGCUGGAGACAGCACCUCCAGAAGAAGAGAAAAACAAAAUCAAGUAAACUGCGUGAUGACCAUGUGAUAAUGACCCCAACUGGAGGAAAAGUACAUGGCUAGGAAUCACUCAUGACUCUGAUUGGAUAAGCAGCUGCAUACACAGUUAAGGAGUGUUUGUGGAAUUAUUUGUUGACAUGUAAAGGUGGGUGAGAAAGUAAAAAGAGAAAACUUGUGAAUGCAUAUAAGGGAUGUUAGAACCUGUAAGAAGUGAUUUGGAUCAUUCACAUCUGCAUUCAUGCCACAGAUGCUGUAAAGUUUGACUUCAGUUAUAUAUCUU